rnacentral:lncRNA from 1 species
AAAUCAUGGCCCAACCCAUUUUCAUACUGUAGGGUCACCAUUCUCUUAGAUUAUAAUUUAGGAACAUUCCUAGGAAUGCGCUCAAUUGCUUAUGGCAAAGCUUUAAAGUCCAUGGUAAAAGAUUUAGUUUCUGUUUUUUAAGCCAUUUCUACACCUCAAGUUUUUCUUCAAAGUGGUUGCUAGGCAGUGUGUUAGUGUUUCAAAUAAACAGAGAAAUGAGCUCUUUCCCUUUAAGGUUCAGUUUUUACUUAUUACCAAAUUCUCCUUUAGAUCAACAGGCCCAAUGACCUUCUUUCAUGUUGUUGCUUAAAGAAAAAGAUAAGUCAAAAUCAAAUUGCUAUUCUUAACCCAGUGGUAUGCAGUGAAAUCAACUAAUUAGGCUGCAUCUUACUGUUAUUUUCCCCUAUAUUUGUAUAGGAAAGCCCAGAGCAUAUGACGGGCUUCAGGACCCCUUUACUGGAAGCUCAUCAGAAGCAGACCCUAUGACCUCUGGCCUUGACAAUCAACUGAACCACAUUUGUCCUUGGCACAAUGGAGAGAGAACUGGAAUCAAGAGAGAAGAUGAUGACAGAGUGAGAGUGAGCCACGAGGGAUCCUGAAAGCUGUGUAUCCGAGAUCACCAACCAGAGAGCCAGCCUGAGAUAUGAAAGCCCCUGGGGGAGGCGGACUCUCCCUAGGACUGACCCAGAGAAGCUGAUUUAAGUGAUUUUUCUGGGAUUCCAGUGGGUGGCUAAAAGAGGCCAGUUGACUUCUGGUGACAUUCUGUGAUCCUGCCUGACUAUGUGGACCUGGGGGUAAGGUGGGGAUGGGAAAGGAAGUAUUGAUGUUUCAACAUGGCCAAGAACUUCAGCUCAGCUAAACUUUGGAAAAGUGAAGAAACCAAAGGUUUAUGGGUUACCCGGGCUCUCAUGUCUGCCUAUUCCAUAUCUUUUCCUUUUUCUCUUUGAUUACUUAUUUGAGGGGUUGUGGGUGGGAGGCGAAGAGAUACAGUCAGAGAUAGAC